ensembl:ribozyme RNaseP_nuc Nuclear RNase P
GUGGAGGGAAGCUCGGUGCUGAGGCUACAGACAGAGUGUAGGGGUCACUCUAUGUGCCUCAGGGAAGGUCUGAGACUGGAGCUCCUAGUUGCCCCUGCAGGGCAUCCCUUGGAUGAAGGGGGUGGGUCCCCAGAGAACUUGGCUCUGAUUGGCCAGUGAGUGCAAAAGAUGCAGCAAGUACCCAAUGUUGUGCUUCUGCAGAUGCAAAGGCAUCAGGCUUGGCACUGCCCCACAGCUGGCACAUUUAAGCUCAAUGGCUGAGAGGGAACUGCCUGUGGUUUCCCAACCCAAUUCAGACUACUCUCCCUCCAC